UAGGCAGACGCCAAGAUACCUGACGGCCAGGCUGGCCAUGAGAAGACAAUGACCACUCUUCUACCAGCUCUUUCCGGUGCAAACACCCUCUAUGGUGCAG
rfam:Methanosalsum zhilinae DSM 4017, complete genome.